rnacentral:rRNA from 1 species
GAUGAAGAACGUANCGAAAUGCGAUACUNGNUGUGAAUNGCAGAAUCCCGUGAACCAUCGAGUCUUUGAACGCAAGUUGCGCCCGAAGCCUUUAGGCCAAGGGCACGUCUGCCUGGGCGUCACGCAUCGCGUCGCCCCCAAUCCUUGCUCUUAGAG